rnacentral:rRNA from 1 species
GAUGAACGCUGGCGGCGUGCCUAAUACAUGCAAGUCGAGCGAGAAUUUUUCAAAUGACACUUCGGUUGAUUUUGGAAAAGGACAGCGGCGGACGGGUGAGUAACGCGUAGGCAACCUGCCCCUGACAGAGGGAUAGCCAUUGGAAACGAUGAUUAAAACCUCAUAACGCCGAAGGAACACAUGUUUCAUCGGCCAAAGAUUUAUCGGUCAGGGAUGGGCCUGCGUCUGAUUAACUAGUUGGUGAGGUAACGGCUCACCAAGGUGACGAUCAGUAGCCGACCUUAGAGGGUGAUCGGCCACAUUGGAACUGAGACACGGUCCAAACUUCUACGGAAGGCAGCAGUAGGGAAUCUUGCACAAUGGGCGAAAGCCUGAUGCAGCAACGCCGCGUGAAGGAUGAAGGCCUUCGGGUUGUAGACUUCUGUUCUUAGGGAAGAAGAAAGUGACGGUACCUAAGGAGAAAGCCCCGGCUAACUACGUGCCAGCCGCCGCAGUAAUAC